CCCCGNCCGCUNAGAGGAGAGCCCUNGGGUCUGGCCUCUUUUCNCACUUANNAACNAAAUUCGGGCNCCAUANNACCCCGACCNCNCCUACCAGGGGCCCCGUUUAGGUAUGGCCAGCGUAUCGCAUUUUUGGNUUUAACGUUNGUAGCGUUUUGUGCNNUNCUNCGAAAUCCNGGCCCCACCCCCAGCUCUNCUGUGGUUUCGGCCGGCCAGAGUGCAGUCGGUAGGCAGAAUUCAUUNNUUGCGGUCGGUGAACUGAUAUUAGUCGGNAGACCCAGUGCGAAGCAGGCAUGUAUGCUGUAUCUGACUNCUGAACGAGAGCAUGCACGGGAGCAGCUUAUUAGAUCCCUUGGUAGUCCAUGCCGUGCACGGUCGGCAGGAGGUGUGGGGGACAUUCCACGUUUUCCGCGCAGUAGCUGAAGCAUUAAGUGCCCCGCCUGGGGAGUACGGCCGCAAGGCUAAAACUCAAAGGAAUUGACGGGGGCCCGCACAAGCGGCGGAGCAUGCGGAUUAAUUCGAUGCAACGCGAAGAACCUUACCAAGGCUUGACAUGAACCGGAAAGACCUGGAAACAGGUCCCCCACUUGUGGCCGGUUUACAGGUGGUGCAUGGUUGUCGUCAGCUCGUGUCGUGAGAUGUUGGGUUAAGUCCCGCAACGAGCGCAACCCUCGUUCUAUGUUGCCAGCGGGUUAUGCCGGGGACUCAUAGGAGACUGCCGGGGUCAACUCGGAGGAAGGUGGGGACGACGUCAAAUCAUCAUGCCCCUUAUGUCUUGGGCUUCACGCAUGCUACAAUGGCCGGUACAAAGGGUUGCGAUACUGUGAGGUGGAGCUAAUCCCAAAAAGCCGGUCUCAGUUCGGAUUGAGGUCUGCAACUCGACCUCAUGAAGUUGGAGUCGCUAGUAAUCGCAGAUCAGCAACGCUGCGGUGAAUACGUUCCCGGGCCUUGUACACACCGCCCGUCAAGUCACGAAAGUUGGUAACACCCGAAGCCGGUGGCCUAACCNCACUUGUGGGAGGGAGCCGUCGAAGGUGGACGGCGAUG
rnacentral:rRNA from 1 species